AGAAGUUCUAAUGAUCAGAAGUCAUUUCAGUUUAUAUACGUUUUUAGAAAUUGGAAGUUUUCCUUCUGAUCUGAUCCAUUUUUACCCUCUAUGUUUGCAGUCAUAUUACCAGUUCCUCAAACACAAAUUUAAAGCAGAGCUGCACCUCUGUCUUCUGAUGAGCAAGGGGAAUGAUGCUGUCUCAAGAAACUACAGGAUUCUGACCCAGAUCUAUGUUAGGGAAUUUGUUGCCAUUGAAGAUACAUCCUCAUUUGAAUGCCUUGGGUAUUCAUUGUAAUGUGUACUCAUUGAUACCUUGGAAAUGACCAGAUACCUUGAUUGUCAAAGCUGUAUGAUGUCUGUCUGGUGAGCUUUUGAAUUCAGUGUCUUGUGCUUUAUGUUUCCAUGCAUUCAAGUUGAACCUGAAUAGAGUAUAAUUAAACCAGGAGUUGGACUUUCAGGCCCUUGACACAUGCUCUGUGAUUCUCAAGAAUUGCUUGAAUUGUACAUUUAAAA
ensembl:lncRNA